UACGAGUGCCCCGAGCGUUAUCCGGAAUCAUUGGGCGUAAAGCGCGCGUAGGCGGCCCUGUAAGUCCGUUGUGAAAGUCAAAGGCUCAACCUUUGAAAGCCGAUGGAUACUGCAGGGCUAGAGUCCGGAAGAGGCGAGUGGAAUUCCUGGUGUAGCGGUGAAAUGCGCAGAUAUCAGGAGGAACACCGAUGGCGAAGGCAGGUCUCUGGGCCACUACUGACGCUGAGAAGCGAAAGCAUGGGGAGCGAACAGG
rnacentral:rRNA from 1 species